AUUGAACGCUGGCGGCAGGCUUAACACAUGCAAGUCGAGCGGGGUGAUGGUGCUUGCACUAUCACUUAGCGGCGGACGGGUGAGUAAUGCUUAGGAAUCUGCCUAUUAGUGGGGGACAACAUCUCGAAAGGGAUGCUAAUACCGCAUACGUCCUACGGGAGAAAGCAGGGGAUCACUUGUGACCUUGCGCUAAUAGAUGAGCCUAAGUCGGAUUAGCUAGUUGGUGGGGUAAAGGCCUACCAAGGCGACGAUCUGUAGCGGGUCUGAGAGGAUGAUCCGCCACACUGGAACUGAGACACGGCCCAGACUCCUACGGGAGGCAGCAGUGGGGAAUAUUGGACAAUGGGGGGAACCCUGAUCCAGCCAUGCCGCGUGUGUGAAGAAGGCCUUAUGGUUGUAAAGCACUUUAAGCGAGGAGGAGGCUCUUUUGGUUAAUACCCAAGAUGAGUGGAUGUUACUCGCAGAAUAAGCACCGGCUAACUCUGUGCCAGCAGCCGCAGUAA
rnacentral:rRNA from 1 species